CCUACGGGAGGCAGCAGUGAGGAAUAUUGGUCAAUGGACGAGAGUCUGAACCAGCCAAGUAGCGUGAAGGAUGACUGCCCUAUGGGUUGUAAACUUCUUUUAUAUGGGAAUAAAACGUUCCACGUGUGGGAUUUUGUAUGUACCAUAUGAAUAAGGAUCGGCUAACUCCGUGCCAGCAGCCGCGGUAAUACGGAGGAUCCGAGCGUUAUCCGGAGUUAUUGGGUUUAAAGGGAGCGUAGGUGGAUUGUUAAGUCAGUUGUGAAAGUUUGCGGCUCAACCGUAAAAUUGCAGUUGAAACUGGCAGUCUUGAGUACAGUAGAGGUGGGCGGAAUUCGUGGUGUAGCGGUGAAAUGCUUAGAUAUCACGAAGAACUCCGAUUGCGAAGGCAGUUCACUGGACUGCAACUGACACUGAGGCUCGAAAGUGUGGGUAUCAAACAGGAUUAGAUACCCCGGUAGUC
rnacentral:rRNA from 1 species